rnacentral:rRNA from 1 species
AUUGAACGCUGGCGGCAGGCCUAACACAUGCAAGUCGAGCGGACGAACGGGGCUUUCUCCUGGCUUCAGCGGCGGACGGGCGGGUAAGGCCCAGGAAGCUGACCUACAGAUAGGGAUAAGGUAAGGACACGAGCCCUGAUACCGCAUACGACCUGAUGGUGAAAGGGAGGGUUCUUUGGAGCACGCGCGAUCAGAUGACACUAAUACGGGUAUCCGGGCCGGAUUAGCUAGUUGGUAGGGUAACGGCUGACCAAGGCAACGAUGCGUAGCUGACCUGAGAGGGUGAUCAGCCACACUGGAACUGAGACACGGUCCAGACUCCUACGGGAGGCAGCAGUGGGGAAUCUUCCACAAUGGGCGAAAGCCUGACGCAGCCACGCCGCGUGUGUGAAGAAGGUCUUCGGAUUGUAAAGCACUUUUAGUUGGGAAGAAGAGAAGUAAGUUAAUCUCUUCCCGUCUUGACGUUACCAACACAAUAAGCCCCGGCUAACUUCGUG